GGCCUUAGUGGCGCACGGGUGCGUAGCGCGUGGGAAUCUAGCCCCUUGGUUCGGAAUAACAGUUGGAAACGACUGCUAAUACCGGAUGAUGACGUAAGUCCAAAGAUUUAUCGCCGAGGGAUGAGCCCGCGUAGGAUUAGGUAGUUGGUGUGGUAAAGGCGCACCAAGCCGACGAUCCUUAGCUGGUCUGAGAGGAUGAUCAGCCACACUGGGACUGAGACACGGCCCAGACUCCUACGGGAGGCAGCAGUGGGGAAUAUUGGACAAUGGGCGAAAGCCUGAUCCAGCAAUGCCGCGUGAGUGAUGAAGGCCUUAGGGUUGUAAAGCUCUUUUACCCGGGAUGAUAAUGACAGUACCGGGAGAAUAAGCUCCGGCUAACUCCGUGCCAGCAGCCGCGGUAAUACGGAGGGAGCUAGCGUUAUUCGGAAUUACUGGGCGUAAAGCGCACGUAGGCGGCUUUGUAAGUAAGAGGUGAAAGCCCAGAGCUCAACUCUGGAAUUGCCUUUUAGACUGCAUCGCUUGAAUCAUGGAGAGGUCAGUGGAAUUCCGAGUGUAGAGGUGAGAUUCGUAGAUAUUCGGAAGAACACCAGUGGCGAAGGCGGCUGACUGGACAUGUAUUGACGCUGAG
rnacentral:rRNA from 1 species